rnacentral:rRNA from 1 species
UACGAAGGGUGCAAGUGUUACUCGGAAUUACUGGGCGUAAAGCGUCCGCAGGUGGCAGUUCAAGUCUGCUGUCAAAGACCGGGGCUCAACCUCGGAUAGGCAGUGGAAACUGAACAGCUAGAGUAUGGUAGGGGCAGAGGGAAUUCCUGGUGUAGCGGUGAAAUGCGUAGAGAUCAGGAAGAACGUCGGUGGCGAAGGCGCUCUGCUGGACCAUAACUGACACUCAGGGACGAAAGCUAGGGGAGCGAAUGGG